UUUAACCAAUCUAAAAUAAUCUUUCAUAGGCAUUUCUUGGGAGGUUGACGGAUAAUAAAGUUGAAGUAGACACACUUUAUGGAUAACAACGUGUGGCCAACGACUUCUUUAUAAUGCUGUAAUAUAGCGACGUGUCGGUAUUAUUCCUUAUGCCGUUGUUUAGCAAGACUGAGGAAACUUAUUCACUCCGAGGAACAGGUGCCCGGAAAUCGAUUGUUUCCGGUGAAAAAGUUUGCGUCAAAUAAAUCUGUUUCUGUCAUUUAGAACUGAUCUGUCAAGACAAAAACUAAAACAAAAUGGCAAUAGCCAGGCCCCCAGGAAUGGAAUUUGACCACAACUGGCCUGAAAGUACAGAGUGUCUGACACUAGAUUUCGGACCAUUUGAAACUGUUCACAGAUGGAAGCAGAUGCCUGAGUGUGAUGAAUUUGUCGGUGCCAGGAGGAGUAAACACACGGUUGUUGCCUACAAGGAAGCUCUGUAUGUGUUUGGAGGAGACAAUGGGAAAAAUAUGCUGAAUGAUUUGCUGAGAUUUGAUGUGAAGGAUAAAUCUUGGGGAAGGGCGUUCACAACUGGCAAACCUCCCGCCCCCAGGUAUCACCACUCAGCUGUUGUUCAUGAGAGCAGCAUGUUCGUGUUCGGGGGCUACACCGGGGACAUCCACUCCAACUGUAACCUCACCAACAAGAACGAUCUGUUCGAGUACCGCUUCAAUAAUGGACAGUGGGUGGAGUGGAAAUUUGAUUUGAAGACGCCGGUAGCCCGUGCAGCCCAUGGUGCUGCAGUGUAUGAUGGGAAACUGUGGAUAUUUGCUGGGUAUGACGGGAACGCCAGACUGAAUGACAUGUGGACCAUCGCGCUGCACGGAGACAAACGCUGCUGGGAGGAGGUGAACCAGAGCGGAGACAUCCCGCCCACAUGCUGCAACUUUGCCCUGGCGGUGGCGCGGGACCGCAUGUAUGUCUUCUCGGGGCAGAGUGGAGCCAAAAUCACAAACAACCUCUUUGAGUUCAACUUUAAAGAAAAACUGUGGACCAGAAUCUCUACUGAGCACAUCCUCCGAGGUGCCCCUCCUCCCCCGGAGAAGCGGUAUGGCCACACCAUGGUGGCAUUUGACCGUCACCUGUAUGUGUUUGGUGGAGCUACGGGUCAAACACUUCCCAAUGAGCUACACUGCUUUGACCUUGACUCCCAGACCUGGUCAAUCACGGACCCAUCAUGUGACAGCCAGAUCCCGGCCGGCCGUCUAUUCCAUGCUGCGGCUGUCGUCGGGGACGCCAUGUACAUAUUUGGGGGAACGGUGGACAACAACGUCAGAAGUGGGGAAAUAUACAGAUUCCAGUUUUCCAGCUAUCCGAAGUGUACUUUACAUGAAGACUAUGGCCGACUUCUAGAGAGCCGACAGUUCUGUGAUGUAGACUUCAUUGUAGGAUCUGAAAAUGUGAAGAUAUCAGCGCACAUCGCACUGAUAGCAGCACGGUCUGGAUGGCUGCGAGACAAGACAAAAAGUGCUGGAUGUCUGCAGCAGUACGGGGAGAACAAUCGGCUCGAGGUCGCGCUCCCGGACGCAAGUCCCAACGCUUUUGAGAUGGUGCUGUCCUACAUUUACACUGACAGAAUCCACCCCACAAAGAAAGGUCAGGAACCUCACAGUAAUGAUGUUAUCCUCAGCAUGAUGGACGUGUACAGGCUCGCACUGCAGUUUCACAUGAGUCGCCUGGAGCAGCUGUGUGUUCACUACCUGGAGGCGUGCAUCGGACACAGGAACGUCCUCGUGGCCCUGAGGAAUGCUGCCAAACUUAAUCUGGAUUUCCUUAAGGAGUACUGUCUGCGGUUCAUUGUGAAAGAGAGCAACUACAACCAGAUCGUGAUGAGCAAGGAGUUCGAGACCCUUGACCAGCCUCUGAUGGUGGAGAUCAUCCGCCGCCGCCAGCAGCCGCACCAGAGGAUGUUGGAGACGUACCAGGACCCUGUCAUCACCAACUCCCUGGAGAAGGAUAUGGACGUCUUCCUCAAGUCUGCAGGCCACGAGUUUUGUGACAUCACACUGAUGCUGGACGGCACCCCCGUCAGGUCCCACAAGGCCAUCCUGGCGGCCCGCUGCAGCUACUUCGAGGCCAUGUUCCGCUCCUUCAUGCCGGAGAACAACACCGUCACAAUCAUCAUCGGCGAGAUGGUGCCAUCCCGCCAGGCGUUCGACAGCCUACUCCGCUACAUCUACUACGGCGAGGUGUCCAUGCCGCCCGAAGACUCCCUCUACCUCUUCCCCGCACCCUACUUCUACGGCUUCACCAACAACAGAUUGCAGGCAUUUUGUAAACACAACUUAGAGAUGAAUGUCUCCUUCCAAAAUGUGAUCCAGAUCUUGGAAGCAGCAGACAAGAUCCAGGCUAUGGAUAUGCGGAAACAUGCUCUCAAUAUCAUAGUACAUUACUUCCCUAAGGUAAGCAGUUCUCAAUAUCAUAGUACAUUACUUCCCUAAGGUAAGCAGCUCUCAAUAUCAUUGUACAUUACUUCCCUAAGGUAAGCAGCUCUCAAUAUCAUAGUACAUUACUUCCCUAAGGUAAGCAGCUCUCAAUAUCAUAGUACAUUACUUCCCUAAGGUAAGCAGCUCUCAAUAUCAUAGUACAUUACUUUCCUAAGGUAAGCAGCUCUCAAUAUCAUAGUACAUUACUUCCCUAAAGUAAGCAGUUCUCAGUAUCAUAGUACAUUACUUCCCUAAGGUAAGCAGCUCUCAAUAUCAUAGUACAUUACUUCCCUAAGGUAAGCAGUUCUCAACAUCACAGUACAUUACUUCCCUAAGGUAAGCAGCUCUCAAUAUCAUAGUACAUUACUUCCCUAAGGUAAGCAGUUCUCAAUAUCAUAGUACAUUACUUCCCUAAGGUAAGCAGCGCUCAAUAUCAUAGUACAUUACUUCUCUAAGGUAAGCAGUUCUCAGCAUCACAGUACAUUACUUCCCUAAGGUAAGCAGCUCUCAAUAUCAUAGUACAUUACUUCCCUAAGGUUGCUCGUCUUCCCCAGAUGCGCCGACUCAGCAAAGAGCUAUUGUUGGACAUCGUCGACGCUCUCGCGGACGACAUGAGCGAGUCUCGGCUCUGUCAAGAUAUGUCAAGUGCCAGUCUU